UACGGAGGGUGCAAGCGUUAUCCGGAUUCAUUGGGCUUAAAGGGUGCGUAGGUGGGUCUGUAAGUCAGUGGUGAAAUCUUCGAGCUUAACUCGGAAACUGCCAUUGAUACUAUAGAUCUUGAAUUUUCUGGAGGUAAGCGGAAUAUGUCAUGUAGCGGUGAAAUGCUUAGAUAUGACAUAGAACACCAAUUGCGAAGGCAGCUUACUACGGGAAUAUUGACACUGAGGCACGAAAGCGUGGGGAUCAAACAGG
rnacentral:rRNA from 1 species